rnacentral:rRNA from 1 species
GACGAACCGUGCAAACGUUGUUCGGAAUCACUGGGCUUAAAGGGCGCGUAGGCGGGCGGUCAAGUCGGGGGUGAAAUCGUUCGGCCCAACCGGACAAGGGCUUCCGAUACUGACUGUCUCGAGGGAGGUAGGGGUCGAGGGAACUGGUGGUGGAGCGGUGAAAUGCGUAGAUAUCACUAGGAACGCCGGUGGCGAAAGCGCUCGACUGGACCUCUUCUGACGCUGAGGCGCGAAAGCCAGGGGAGCAAACGGG